CAGGGCUAUUUGGAGAAUGUUGAAUUAUCUAUGAGAGGUAAAUAAAGGAAACUUGAAUAAACUGGAUGGACAGGGAGAGGAUCUUGGAGAGUCAAUGAAAUAAAAGUUUUUUCCUAGGCUAAAAUGAUGGGAAGAUGUGGAAAAUAAACUCAUCUUGCCUUUUUAAUGGUCACCACUGGAACAGAACAUCCUUUAAAAUCUGCCUGGUAGCUGAAUUGUUGAUUGAAUUCUGCAAGCAAAUGCCAACAUUACCAAAGUAAAACCACAGUGUAGAACAAGAGAAAUACUGAAUUCACCAGUGUAGCAGAUUGGAUUCUCUGCAACAACUGCUGAGAUGGAAUUUGAGGAUGAAAGAUGGUUAUUAUGAAUUAACAUCUGUGGAGGGAGACACAGACAGGAUUCAACUCAACUCCAAGUUACUGUGGAGCAAGCAAUGCCCAUUAGGUUUCAGUUGUUUUCAACAGAAGGGCGGGUCCAAGACCAACUCCUCCAUCAGGACCAGAAGAGUUUAAAAAUUUUGGAAGUACAAAAGGCAGCAAGAAACCCAGACCACAGCUUGGAAUGUUUGGCUGUAGACCCUUUCUCAGUUCUGGAGGCUACAAGUUCUACAUCAACGUAGUAGAUUGUUCACCAGUGGCUGUCUUCUGGCUCUGUCCUCACAUAGCAGAAUGGGUACUGGGGAUUGAACUUGGGACCUUGCACUUGCGUGGCAGGCAGCAGAACCACUGAGCUAAAUCUCCAGCCCAAUGUAACCCAGGCUGGAUUGAACUUUCAACUAUCCUCUUGCUUCAGUCUCCCAAAUGCUGGGAUUACUGGUCUUUGACGGUACUGCCACAUUCCAUAAUCAUAUCUGCAAAAAAGACACAAGUAAAUGGAUCCUGUAUGGAUCUUCAGUUUCAUAUGCUUCUGACAGGUCUCAUCUGAAGUUUGCAAUGAUCUGGAUUGAGAUCUAAUGAUUACUGACUGUUAUCUGAUCACUGUAACAAGGCUACUGAG
ensembl:lncRNA